UAGAGCCUCCUGUAGUCAUUGGGACUGCUUU
rnacentral:piRNA from 1 species